rnacentral:tRNA from 1 species
GGCUGUGUAGCUCAGCGGUAGAGCGGCCGCUCAAGACGGUCUGUCCGGGAGUUCGAUCCCUGCUGAGUCACCA